rnacentral:rRNA from 1 species
UACGUAGGUGGCGAGCGUUGUCCGGAUUCAUUGGGCGUAAAGCGCGCGUAGGCGGCUCGGAAAGUCGGUCGUGAAAUGCCGGGGCUCAACCCCGGGACUGCGUCCGAUACUUCCGGGCUGGAGGUAGGUAGGGGAGAUCGGAAUUCCUGGUGUAGCGGUGAAAUGCGCAGAUAUCAGGAGGAACACCGGUGGCGAAGGCGGAUCUCUGGGCCUUACCUGACGCUGAGGCGCGAAAGCUAGGGGAGCGAACAGG